UUUUGCAUACGAUAUUUUUCAGGCACCCGCUUUAUAUAACGCAAGAAGGCAGCUGCAAGGACACGAGGAUGUGAAAGAGCCAGUGCAGCGCGACUUCACGUAGCGCAGAGGAGCCAAUGCCAAAAAAUCAAAAUACAUUGGCAUGUUAUUUGGACAAGAAAACUAGUAUGUGGGUAUAUUGGGUGUACCAUUUGACCAAAUGUCAACAAAAUCAAGAUACAGUAUGUUACACGAAGAUGAAAAUUCUCACGUGCUCCAGGCAGUCAUCUUAACAUGGUAUAUUUAUGUAAUGUCUCUGAUUGGAAAGUCAAAUCAAGUAUGCUCUCUGUAGACAAACACACAGCAGCAAGUGUCAUUGAAAAGUUAAAAAUGUGUUUUAAGAAAGCUGAUUAGUUAUGAGAAGUGACUGCUUCUUGUCUUGCCUUUCAACAGAUAUAUCCAUGUGAUAAAAAAAUAGUGGUACAAUGAAAUUGCAUAUUUGCUUAGCGACAUGAUACAUACUUGCAAUGAGCACGGUGCCUGUGUUUACUAUAAAAAGCAACAGCCCAUGCUUGGUUAGGUUAGGCCCACUACAACAUGCAGGCAUGGGUGAUUGGCGCUUUUUUUUAUUGCUGUGUCGUGAGGUUUAUUGACGUGCGUAUAGGUGCAGUGGCACGCAGUAUGGCUAGUACAAAAAGGGGGGGGGGGGCAGAUAUAUGUAGCUCACUGUACACGACACAGGGCAAAGGAAAUCCGUGUUCAGCAACUAUGUUAAAUGCCAUGUACGUAAAUUUUACAGCGCUACUCGUUCGAAGCGCGAACAGGUGCAUAUUGAAGAAAAGUUUCCAGGGUAGAUGAUUUAGUUCGUAAUUUACACUAAUUUUGCUCUAACUACGAGACAUAAUAAUUUGAAUAUACUGCACGGAAAAACCUAGAGCGAAUUAAAUUGUGUGUCAGCUUCGUGUGUAUUCAUAUAGUCUUUCCUAUGCAUUAGGUUUUUUGCGUAAUGCAUUAACAGUUGACAGCCUAUCUUAUGAUGUGUACUCUGUUUACAUUACAGUUGUCUAUUAGUUUACUCGUUUGUUUUGCGAUUGAUGAAAUGCCGGCAUAUAUAUAUUUUCAACAUUUGACAUAACCCUGUAUGUUUUGCAGGGACAACCCAGGACGUGCAUUUCUCAGCACCCAGUCAACUGCCAAAAGUGACUCAAACACAGGCCACCAGUGGAACUCGGCUGUACCACUGCAGUGCUGCGGAAAUUGUCUUCACCAGCGGCUUUGCAACAGCUGUUUCGCAGCAUGUCGGAGACAAUGCCUGCGAAAUUAUUGGCCCUGAUCAUGAGAGCCCUCAAGGGGCAAACAACAUCUCUGUUGCAGAAGUGAGCCCGAUACCACUUGGAAGUUACCAUGACAGAUGACACGGCAGCAAUAGAUACAGAGACUGCCAUGUCUACUGCAGCUGCAACAGUGUACGAGGCAAGCAGCAGCGCGUCAGCAUCAGCAGCAGUGUCAGAAGGAACCACACCAGGCCUGGUAGAGCAACAUGUGUGCUAUCACUGACUUUUUUUGUAGUGGAUACAACUCAUUUGCCCAACAUACAAAAGCUUUUCACCACGACUGUGAGCCAGUGUUAUUGUGCAGCAAGUGCAAGACUAAGUUAGGUGUUAUAACACAGUACAAGCAUCACUUUAAUAUAUGCAAAUGCAAACAUAUUACAGUUGUUGCCUCCCCAGCCAGCCCACAUAGUGACAACAAUGUGGAACACAUGGUGGGACACACCUCUCCCCCAUUACAAGAUAGUAGAGACUGUCAGUGUUGUUGCUAGAUUGACUGGUCUUUGUAGGCAACUAGAAGGACAACACAGGUGUCAUAAGAUUGUUGUUGAUGUUGUUGUUGAAGAGGUAAAAAAGAAGUUUGAUGCAGCUGAAGUGCCAACUGAUAUUGAGCAAAUCAAAAGCAACCACCUGAGAAAGCAACACUAUCGAAAUUUGGGUAUCUAUGUGCCGCCAACUCUGGUAAGAAUGGCAUAGGACAGAAGUGUGAUGAAAAUCACACAGACACUGCUGUUGCAUCACUGGCCACAGUGAGCAGCGACUUGUAGGGCAAGAGAGUCAACUGAAACUAACAUUAUGACAUAGUGUCAUGCUCCCAUGUGACCACUUUUCAAGUUAUUUUGCAAGAUACAGCUCAACCUCCAGAAACGAGAGUGCAACUUGUCUGUAAAAAAGCUUUCAAAAAAAAUUAUUCAUAACACUA